UAUACUACCUCCGUUUCAGGUUAUAAGACUUUCUAGCAUUGCCCACAUUCAUAUAGAUGUUAAUGAAUCUAGGCACACAUAUAUGUAUAGAUUCAUUAACAUAUAUAUGAAUGUGGGCAAUGCUAGAAAGUCUUAUAAUAUAAAACGGAGGAAGUAGUGAUUUA
rnacentral:pre_miRNA from 1 species